AUAUCUUUAGAACAACUUAGAUAACUAGAAGGGGAAGGUGGAGGAAUGAGCAAGUGGGAAGGAAAAUUAGUGAAUCGACGAUGACAUAUUCAAACAACAGAACAAUGCAAAUUGCAAACAUGAAAUUUAAGUUGCUGAUCAGUUAUCAUCAUUUCUUUUCUUUAAAAAAUAAACCACCAAGAAAAACUAGUUAAUUAAGAACUAGUUACACAAGGAUGUGUAUUUAGCCAAUGUGCAUGCAUAUGAAGGAAACGACAUUUAGACGAACAAAAUUAAUUAUUAUUGUGAUGUUAGUAAGCAAAAAGGCAAUUCAGUGCUAUGUUAAUACAAAAGUGAAAUAACUUUCUUUUUUAUUUUGUCUUUUUUUGGAUAGGGGUCAUGGUGAUAUGAAUUAUGAAACCAAAAUAAUAAUAAGAUAGACAGGAACAUAGAAGAGAUUAAAGAUGAAUAAAUAAAGCACAUUAUGAUACGUAAAAUGAGAUAAUGAUUAAAUUGGACAGGUAGUGGUAAUUGAACACAUGAAUAUAUAUAAAAGGAAAGGUCAAAACGACAUGACAACUCAAAUAUAUAGUG